rnacentral:lncRNA from 1 species
ACCCCUAUCUCCGCGACCCCCACUCCUCCUCGGCUGUUCCCCAACCCUGUCACUGUGCUCCCCUCCCUACUCCCGGCCCGUAGUGGAGGUGACUUUCCUGCGCAGCGCCGCUUCUGAGGGCGGAGAACCCACAGGGAGUGCGACCCCUUUGCACGCUCUGGACGCCCUAUAGGGCUCUUGGCAGUCCACGAAAGACCUGGAGUCCGCCUCCCCAUUUCUCCGGUCGGUGAGUGGCAGGAGGAAAUCGCCAAACAUGUUUUCCCGCUUUGCCUCCCCAACUCGGAAACUUGCAACUUGCCGUGUCCUGGAGGUUGAGACAAUUUGGGGUCUCUUGGCUGCCGUCCAACAGAUUUAUCUCUGAGGGCAGUGUCCUUGGUGAGAGGUCCAAGUAGGUGUGGGCGACAUUGUCCUCCAUCUCAUGAGGGAGCAGCCCUGCACACUAGGGCCCAAAACUCUGCGAAGGAGCUUGGAAGUUCUUCAUCCGUUCCACUUGUUUUGCUACUCCACACACCCUUCUAGGACAUGUUGAUUGCCAACUGCUCUGUGCAGCUUUCCCAUAGCUGUCUGUUCCCGUGCAUUUCGGAGCACCAAGCAAAUACGAGCAGAGAGACCUGGAAAAAAAAAUGAUGAAGACAGUAUUAAUGAUAAAAUUAACAUGGCUGAGUGAAUUGUCAAUGCAAGUUCCUUUACUAACUCUUUGUUAAGUUUUGCUUUGUACUCCUUACAUCCUCUUUCUCUUAAGCCAUUGUUUUAAUUUCUUCUCGUUAUCAUUUUUAAAAGUAACAGAAAUACAGCUUUCUUCCUACCUUCACGAUUGACUUGGUGGAGGUUGGGUUGCAAAGAGGAAGCAGUAAGAAAAAAUAAUUAUUCUAUACAUUCACAAGUCCUUCAAGGCACAAAAUAAAAGUAAGAAAUAGAAAAUAUGUCCUUUCUCCUAAUAAAGGUCUUUAUAAUAAAAUUUAAAUGAAGUUUUGUGUUUCAUAACAGCUUCCCAAAUACUGUUGUAGAUACUAAAAUGUGCCUGUAUGUAUUUCCUUCCACAAUAAUAAUAGUAAUAAUAAACUUUUUUAGGUCCAAAUUAAACAUUUCUCAGCUUAAAUUUCUAUCCUCAAUCCAACAUUUAUUAUAUCAAAACUUGAUUUUUAAAAAUAAAACUUUCUUGGAAUUCAUCA